rnacentral:rRNA from 1 species
CAGUCGCCGCGGGAAAACGGAGGGGGCUAGCGUUGUUCGGAAUUACUGGGCGUAAAGCGCACGUAGGCGGCUUGGUAAGUUAGAGGUGAAAGCCCAGGGCUCAACCCUGGAAUUGCCUUUAAGACUGCCGAGCUAGUAGGUGAGAGAGGUAAGUGGAAUUCCGAGUGUAGAGGUGAAAUUCGUAGAUAUUCGGAAGAACACCAGUGGCGAAGGCGGCUUACUGGCUCAUUCUAGACGCUGAGGUGCGAAAGCGUGGGGAGCAAACAGGAUUAGAUACCCCAGUAGUCCCUGUCUCUUAUAA